UGGGAUAUAGCUCAGUUGGUAGAGUGCUUGUCUUGCACAAGGCCCUGGGUUCUAAUCCCCAGCAUCACAA
rnacentral:tRNA from 1 species